rnacentral:rRNA from 1 species
UGCCUAAUACAUGCAAGUCGAGCGAACUGAUUAGAAGCUUGCUUCUGUGACGUUAGCGGCGGACGGGUGAGUAACACGUGGGCAACCUGCCUGUAAGACUGGGAUAACUUCGGGAAACCGAAGCUAAUACCGGAUAGGAUCUUCUCCUUCAUGGGAGAUGAUUGAAAGAUGGUUUCGGCUAUCACUUACAGAUGGGCCCGCGGUGCAUUAGCUAGUUGGUGAGGUAACGGCUCACCAAGGCAACGAUGCAUAGCCGACCUGAGAGGGUGAUCGGCCACACUGGGACUGAGACACGGCCCAGACUCCUACGGGAGGCAGCAGUAGGGAAUCUUCCGCAAUGGACGAAAGUCUGACGGAGCAACGCCGCGUGAGUGAUGAAGGCUUUCGGGUCGUAAAACUCUGUUGUUAGGGAAGAACAAGUACGAGAGUAACUGCUCGUACCUUGACGGUACCUAACCAGAAAGCCACGGCUAACUACGUGCCAAC